rnacentral:misc_RNA from 1 species
UACGAGUGCCUCAAGCGUUAUCCGGAAUCAUUGGGCGUAAAGGAUGUGUAGGUGGUUGUGUUAGUCUUUUGUUAAAUUCUUCGGCUUAACCGGGGUCAUGCAAAAGAAACGGCACGACUAGAGGGUACGAGAGGUCUCUGGAACUCAUAGUGUAGCGGUGAAAUGCGUUGAUAUUAUGGGGAACACCAAAAGCGAAGGCAAGAGACUGGAGUAUUCCUGACACUGAAACAUGAAAGCGUGGGUCGCGAAUGGG